CUUGGUUCCAUUAGAGGAAGUAAAAGUCGUAACAAGGUCUCCGUUGGUGAACCAGCGGAGGGAUCAUUACCGAGUUUACAACUCCCAAACCCCUGUGAACAUACCUAUACGUUGCCUCGGCGGAUCAGCCCGCGCCCCGUAAAAAGGGACGGCCCGCCCGAGGACCCCUAAACUCUGUUUUUAGUGGAACUUCUGAGUAAAACAAACAAAUAAAUCAAAACUUUCAACAACGGAUCUCUUGGUUCUGGCAUCGAUGAAGAACGCAGCAAAAUGCGAUAAGUAAUGUGAAUUGCAGAAUUCAGUGAAUCAUCGAAUCUUUGAACGCACAUUGCGCCCGCCAGUAUUCUGGCGGGCAUGCCUGUUCGAGCGUCAUUUCAACCCUCAAGCUCAGCUUGGUGUUGGGACUCGCGGUAACCCGCGUUCCCCAAAUCGAUUGGCGGUCACGUCGAGCUUCCAUAGCGUAGUAAUCAUACACCUCGUUACUGGUAAUCGUCGCGGCCACGCCGUAAAACCCCAACUUCUGAAUGUUGACCUC
rnacentral:rRNA from 1 species